AACACAUGCAAGUCGAACGCGAAGGGACUCGGUCCUGAGUAAAGUGGCGCACGGUGAGUAACGCGUAGAUAACCUGUCUUCAUGUCUGGAAUAAUACGCCGAAAGGGGUACUAAUACCGGAUAUUCUUUGCUUUUCAUAAGUUAUGCAAGCAAAGGUGGCCUCUGCAUAUGCUACUGCAUGAAGAGGGGUCUGCGUACCAUUAGCUAGUAGGUGGGGUAAUGGCCUACCUAGGCGACGAUGGUUAGCGGGUCUGAGAGGAUAAUCCGCCACACUGGCACUGGAACACGGGCCAGACUCCUACGGGAGGCAGCAGUGAGGAAUAUUGCGCAAUGGGGGAAACCCUGACGCAGCGACGCCGCGUGAGUGAGGAAAAGGCCUUCGGGUCGUAAAGCUCUGUCAAGAGGAAAGAAGUGUACAAUGGCUAAUACCUGUUGUAUUUGACGGUACCUCUAAAGGAAGCACCGGCUAACUCCGUGCCAGCAGCUGC
rnacentral:rRNA from 1 species